rnacentral:rRNA from 1 species
UACGUAGGGUGCAAGCGUUUGUCCGGAAUUAUUGGGCGUAAAGAGCGCGCAGGCGGUCGUAUAAGUCGAAUGUGAAAGCCCCCGGCUCAACUGGGGAGGGUCACGCGAUACUGAUCGACUGGAAGGCAGGAGAGGGUAGUGGAAUUCCCGGUGUAGUGGUGAAAUGCGUAGAUAUCGGGAGGAACACCCGUGGCGAAGGCGGCCUUCUGGACAGUGACUGACGCUGAGACGCGAAAGCGUGGGGAGCAAACAGG